UUCAUUAUUUACCUCUUUCUCAAAAUACCCAGUAAGAAGGACUCUUUGUCCCUCCACAGGAGAUGGUUAUUGGAUAGGAUGGACAUGAAGAAGGCAUCUCGAGAGCUUCAGAGUCUAUGAAAGUGUGGGCCAAGACCACUGAAAGGUGUUGACUUUUUCUCUCGGUUUGAGAAGACACCUUAGCCGGUGAGACCUCCAAGAAGAAUUAUGGUUGACCAAGGGAAGGUGGAGCAGGAUCUCUGGCCUAGGAUCUCACACCACUCCAUGGAAGUGACUAUGACUCACACAACCAAGUUCCAACAGAUCUAGGAUGAAUGCAUCUCCAGCUUUCACCUAUUGCUUGGGAAGCAGGCACAAGAGAACAGACAGCCAGUACACCGCAGUCAUCCAGCCUCUCUCCAGAAGCCAGUGAGGGGUCCGCCUGCCAGCUGCACACCUGCUCCAGCUUGCCCGAUCACGUGGCCCAUUAAGCAGCAAGCUCCCUUCCACGAGGUGGCUACACACCUGUCUUCUUCAGUCAGGCAAGAGCAUAUGUCUAUGCCAUGGGCCAAAUCCUUCCUUCAGAAAGGCACAUAGUCUCAAUCUUGGGUGACUGGAGGCAAC